rnacentral:lncRNA from 1 species
CAAGAUGGAGUUGCUUUGGCUCACAUGCCUCUGACAAGAUCAACAGCAGAAAUAAAGAACCAUGCUG